AGAGUUUGAUCAUGGCUCAGGACGAACGCUGGCGGCGUGCCUAAUACAUGCAAGUAGAACGCUGAAGAAAGGAGCUUGCUUCUUUUGGAUGAGUUGCGAACGGGUGAGUAACGCGUAGGUAACCUGCCUUGUAGCGGGGGAUAACUAUUGGAAACGAUAGCUAAUACCGCAUAACAGCUUUUGACACAUGUUAGAAGCUUGAAAGAUGCAAUUGCAUCACUACGAGAUGGACCUGCGUUGUAUUAGCUAGUAGGUAGGGUAACGGCCUACCUAGGCGACGAUACAUAGCCGACCUGAGAGGGUGAUCGGCCACACUGGGACUGAGACACGGCCCAGACUCCUACGGGAGGCAGCAGUAGGGAAUCUUCGGCAAUGGGGGCAACCCUGACCGAGCAACGCCGCGUGAGUGGAGAAGGUUUUCGGAUCGUAAAGCUCUGUUGUAAGAGAAGAACGUGUGUGAGAGUGGAAAGUUCACACAGUGACGGUAACUUACCAGAAAGGGACGGCUAACUACGUGCCAGCAGCCGCGGUAAUACGUAGGUCCCGAGCGUUGUCCGGAUUUAUUGGGCGUAAAGCGAGCGCAGGCGGUUUAAUAAGUCUGAAGUUAAAGGCAGUGGCUUAACCAUUGUUCGCUUUGGAAACUGUUAAACUUGAGUGCAGAAGGGGAGAGUGGAAUUCCAUGUGUAGCGGUGAAAUGCGUAGAUAUAUGGAGGAACACCGGUGGCGAAAGCGGCUCUCUGGUCUGUAACUGACGCUGAGGCUCGAAAGCGUGAGGAGCAAACAGGAUUAGAUACCCUGGUAGUCCACGCCGUAAACGGUGAGUGCUAGGUGUUAGGCCCUUUCCGGGGCUUAGUGCCGCAGCUAACGCAUUAGCACUCCGCCUGGGGAGUACGACGCAGUUGAAACUCAAAGGAAUUGACGG
rnacentral:rRNA from 1 species